GAUGAACGCUGGCGGCGUGCCUAAUACAUGCAAGUCGAGCGAAUGGAUUGAGAGCUUGCUCUUAUGAAGUUAGCGGCGGACGGGUGAGUAACACGUGGGUAACCUGCCCAUAAGACUGGGAUAACUCCGGGAAACCGGGGCUAAUACCGGAUAACAUUUUGAACCGCAUGGUUCGAAGUUGAAAGGCGGCUUCGGCUGUCACUGAUGGAUGGACACGCGUCGCAUUAGCUAGUUGGUGAGGUAACGGCUCACCAAGGCAACGAUGCGUAGCCGACCUGAGAGGGUGAUCGGCCACACUGGGACUGAGACACGGCCCAGACUCCUACGGGAGGCAGCAGUAGGGAAUCUUCCGCAAUGGACGAAAGUCUGACGGAGCAACGCCGCGUGAGUGAUGAAGGCUUUCGGGUCGUAAAACUCUGUUGUUAGGGAAGAACAAGUGCUAGUUGAAUAAGCUGGCACCUUGACGGUACCUAACCAGAAAGCCACGGCUAACUACGUGCCAGCAGCCGCCGUAA
rnacentral:rRNA from 1 species